AUUGAACGCUGGCGGCAUGCCUUACACAUGCAAGUCGAACGGUAACAGGUCUUCGGAUGCUGACGAGUGGCGAACGGGUGAGUAAUACAUCGGAACGUGCCCGAUCGUGGGGGAUAACGCAGCGAAAGCUGUGCUAAUACCGCAUACGAUCUACGGAUGAAAGCGGGGGAUCGCAAGACCUCGCGCGGACGGAGCGGCCGAUGGCAGAUUAGGUAGUUGGUGGGAUAAAAGCUUACCAAGCCGACGAUCUGUAGCUGGUCUGAGAGGACGACCAGCCACACUGGGACUGAGACACGGCCCAGACUCCUACGGGAGGCAGCAGUGGGGAAUUUUGGACAAUGGGCGCAAGCCUGAUCCAGCCAUGCCGCGUGCAGGAUGAAGGCCUUCGGUUGUAAACUGCUUUGUACGACGAAAAGUUCUCUCUAUAAAGGGGCGAAUGACGGUACCGUAAGAAUAAGCACCGGCUAACUACGUCCAGCAGCCGC
rnacentral:rRNA from 1 species